rnacentral:lncRNA from 1 species
CAGAUGUGGCUCAGUGGUUUAGUGCCCUUCGGUUCAAUCCCCAGUAUGACAAAAAGAAAAGAAGGAGAAGGAGAAGAAGAAGAAGAGAAGGAAAAAAUAAAUUAGAUCAGUAGUUUAGGAAAAAUAAAAUAUCCCUUUUUCAUCUCUAAUUUUGUUCAUUUAGGCCUUCUGUCUCUUUUGGUCUAGUUUGGCUAAAGAUUUAUCAAUUUAUCAAUCUUUUUUGUCUUUUUAAAGAUGGUUCUUUAUUGCAUUGAUCCUUUGUAUUGUUUUUUUUAUCCUCAAUUUUAUUAAUUCAGCUCUAAUUUCUUGUCUUCUACAGGUUUUGGAAUUAGCUUAUUUUUGCUUUUCUAGGGCCUUGAGGUAUAACAGAUUAUGUAGAUACUCAGUGCUAUAAAUUUUCCUCAGCCAGAUGUGGUGAUGCACACCUGUAAUCCCAGCCACUAGAAAGACUGAGGCAGGAAGAUCUCAAGUUCAAAGCCAGCCUCAGCCACUUAGCAAUACCCUAAGAACUUAGUGAGACCCUGUCUCAAAAUAAAAAAUAAAAAGUCCUGGAGAUGUGGCUCAGUGAUUAAGUGUCCCUGGGUUCAGACCCUGGUACCAAAACACACAAAACCUUUCCUGCUAGAACCACUUUCAUAGUAUCCCAAAGAUUUUGAUAUCUCUAUUUUCAUUUAUUUCUAACAAUUCCUGGGGCUGGGGAUGUGGCUCAAGCGGUAGCGUGCUCGCCUGGCAUGCGUGCGGCCUGGGUUCUAUCCUCAGCACCACAUACAAACAAAGAUGUUGUGUCCGCCAAAAAAUAAAUAUUAAAUCUCUCUCUCUCUCUCUUAAAAAAAAAUUCUAAGUAUCUCUGUUCUCAUUUUUUCUAAGAAUUUCUUAUUUCUCCCCUGAUUUAUAAAUUUAUUUUUAAUAGCUUAUUUAUAUGUUUUGUUGCCACGUAAGUAUAAAGAUUACAAAUGAACAUUUUGGGAUAAUGUAUACUUAUAUUAAAAUAAAGCUUAUUUUUCUGUUAAAUAAAUAAAAUAAAAUAAAAUCUAUGGUGAGAGGGCCAGGAAACGACAGAAACAAGGGUAGCUGAUAUAUUGUUCCAGGGAAAAGCUGAAGUACUCCCCCAAAUCACUUUAUGUCUUGAAACCAAAUGUAGAUGAGUUUGAUACAAGGAUAUUAAACAUACCAAUUCAAAAUCAUGCAUGAAAAAAAAAAACACAUGACAAACUAGAGUUUAGCCUAGAAAAUACAAGGUGGUUUAACAUUAGAAAAUCAAUGUGUCAGGUAUAGUGGUGCAUGCUUAUAAUCCCAGUGACUCGGAGGCUGAGGUCAGAG